rnacentral:rRNA from 1 species
UGCCAGACUCCUACGGGAGGCAGCAGUGGGGAAUAUUGGGCAAUGGGCGCAAGCCUGACCCAGCAACGCCGCGUGAAGGAAGAAGGCUUUCGGGUUGUAAACUUCUUUUCUCAGGGACGAAGAAAGUGACGGUACCUGAGGAAUAAGCCACGGCUAACUACGUGCCAGCAGCCGCGGUAAUACGUAGGUGGCAAGUGUUAUCCGGAUUUAUUGGGUGUAAAGGGCGUGUAGGCGGGAGCGCAAGUCAGAUGUGAAAACUCAGGGCUCAACCCUGAGCCUGCAUUUGAAACUGUUGGUCUUGAGUAUCGGAGAGGCAGGCGGAAUUCCUAGUGUAGCGGUGAAAUGCGUAGAUAUUAGGAGGAACACCAGUGGCGAAGGCGGCCUGCUGGACGACAACUGACGGUGAGGCGCGAAAGCGUGGGGAGCAAACAGGAUUAGAUACCCCAGUAUC